CCGUAGGUGAACCUGCGGAAGGAUCAUAGUUAUGGAGAGGUCAGCCUUUAUGGGCCCCUCGUCACACUCUGGAUGCAAUGUGCUCACGCACUAGUCUUGGUCCAUUAGUGGGCCUCGACAAAACCUUUGUAAUCCAUCUUAUGCCUAUUUGAAACCAUGAAAGAUUUACAACCAGUAGCGUUGGAUCCCUUGGCACGUCAUUCGAUGAAGACCGUUGCAAAAUGCGAUAAGUGGUGUGAUAUGCAAGUCCAAAACUUAUACGUGAAUCAUCGAAUUGUUGAACGCACUGCAUCGAGCCUUACCCAGGAACGAUACGCCCCAUUGAGCGUCAUUAUGUCUUCGCGACUUGUCAUUUAGUUGACUCUGUCCGGGUUCGGGAUUCACGACCUUUCGAGGUUGCGCUUCCUUAGAUACAUGUGUGCGCCAGCGCCUGAUGGUGACCUUGUCAUGAAUGUCGAGGUGAGCCGGAAAGUGUUGUGCGCAAGAUCCGCAACUUGCGUGCGGAUCAAGUGCAGCCACUUCACUGUGGACGCAACUUCUCUACAUGACCUCACGGGGGUGGGACGACCCGCUAGACUUAAGCAUAUUAAUCAGCGGAGGAAAAGAAACUAACAAGGAUUCCCCUAGUAACUGCGAGUGAAGAGGGAUUAGCUCAAUGUGUGAAUCGGGUCGGGAUUAGCACCUGGCUCGAGUUGUGCACUAUAGACGGCGGAUCAGCGCUUGAAAGAUUGAGUCGGAUGUCCGAUGAAACUCGGUGCCAUUGAGGGUCAUAGUCCUGUACUUGGCUCAUCAUCUUUUGCGCAUUUGACCGACGCUCUGCGAGUCGCGUAGUUUUGUAUUGCUGCGCUAAUUGGGAGGUAGAGCCCUUCUAAAGCUAAAUAUGAUGACGUGACCGAUAGCACACAAGUACCGCGAGGGAAAGGUGAAAAGCAACCAUGCAGAAUGGGUUGAAACAGAAGUGAAAGCGCUACUGGGAUAAGGGCUGGGGAUUGCUUGUGUUGCUUGCGCGUGCUUCAGUGCUGUGCUUGUGAACGGCAUGCUUCAAUUGGGAUGGGGAGAACAGGGCCUCGGGAAUUCGGCUGGAUCCGUCCAGUGUUGUAGCCCAGGUGUCAAUGGAGCCCCUUCGGAUUGUUGAGUGUCUUGCGAUUGUCAGCCGCCCGUCUUGAAACACGGACCAAGGAGUGCACCUUGCAUGCGAGUCGAAGGGACUGUAAUCCUGGAGGCGUAGCGAAAGCGAAGGCCACGAAUCCUCACGGUGUCGGUGGCACCCGCCUUGUGCGAGGUAGAGCAUGUAGGGUGCGACCCGAAAGAUGGUGAACUAUGCCCGGGUAAGGUGAAGCCAGUGGAAACGCUGGUGGAGGCCUGUAGCGGUUCUGACGUGCAGAUCGAUCGUGUAACCUGGGUAUAGGGGCGAAAGACCUAUCGAACCGUCUAAUGGCUGGUUCCCCCCGAAGUUUCCCUCAGGAUAGCUGUGUCCCUAUUGUCAGUUGCACGCGGUAGAGCGAAUGAUUAGGUGUCUCGGGGACUUAUUGACCUCGGCUCAUUCUCAAACUGCGAAUUGUGUGCGUUCCGCGCUGUGUCCUAAUGGCACGCCGGGUGAAUGACAGGACGCAAGUGGGCUGGUUUUGGUAAGCAGAACUGGCG
rnacentral:rRNA from 1 species